rnacentral:rRNA from 1 species
AUUGAACGCUGGCGGCAGGCCUAACACAUGCAAGUCGAGCGGAGCGGCGGACGGGUGAGUAAUGCAGAGGAAUCUGCCAGGGAGUGGGGGAUAACGUACGGAAACGGGCGCUAAUACCGCAUACUAUCAGAUGAGCCUAGGUCGGAUUAGCUAGUUGGUGGGGGAAAGGCCUACCAAGGCGACGAUCCGUAACUGGUCUGAGAGGAUGAUCAGUCACACUGGAACUGAGACACGGUCCAGACUCCUACGGGAGUCAGCAGUGGGGAAUAUUGGACAAUGGGCGAAAGCCUGAUCCAGCCAUGCCGCGUGUGUGAAGAAGGUCUUCGGAUUGUAAAGCACUUUAAGUUGGGAGGCGUUACCAACAGAAUAAGCACCGGCUAACUUCGUGCCAGCCGCCGCGGUAAUAC